CCUACGGGAGGCAGCAGUAGGGAAUAUUGGGCAAUGGGCGAAACCCUGACCCAGCAACGCCGCGUGAAGGAAGAAGGCUUUCGGAUUGUAAAGCCCUUUCCUCAAGGAAGAUAAUGACGGUAUCUAAGGAGUAAGCACCGGCUAACUGCGUGCCAGCAGCCGCGGUAAUACGGAGGGGGCAAGCGUUAUCCGGAAUCACUGGGCGUAAAGGGGGCGUAGGCGGGAUAUCAAGUCAGAUGUGAAAUGCUAAGGCUUAACCAUAGUAAUGCCUUUGAAACUGUUAUUCUAGAGUAUGGGAGAGGUAGGUGGAAUUCUUGGUGUAGGGGUAAAAUGCGUAGAGAUUAAGAGGAAUACUCAUUGCGAAGGCGACCUGCUAGACUAUAACUGACGCUGAGGCGCGAAAGCGUGGGGAGCAAACAGGAUUAGAUACCCGAGUAGUC
rnacentral:rRNA from 1 species